GACGAACGCUGGCGGCGUGCUUAACACAUGCAAGUCGAACGGAAAGGCCCUGCUUUUGUGGGGUGCUCGAGUGGCGAACGGGUGAGUAACACGUGAGUAACCUGCCCUUGACUUUGGGAUAACUUCAGGAAACUGGGGCUAAUACCGGAUAGGAGCUCCUGCUGCAUGGUGGGGGUUGGAAAGUUUCGGCGGUUGGGGAUGGACUCGCGGCUUAUCAGCUUGUUGGUGGGGUAGUGGCUUACCAAGGCUUUGACGGGUAGCCGGCCUGAGAGGGUGACCGGCCACAUUGGGACUGGGAUACGGCCCAGACUCCUACGUGAGGCAGCAGUGGGGAAUAUUGCACAAUGGGCGGAAGCCUGAUGCAGCAACGCCGCGUGCGGGAUGACGGCCUUCGGGUUGUAAACCGCUUUCGCCUGUGACGAAGCGUGAGUGACGGUAAUGGGUAAAGAAGCACCGGCUAACUACGU
rnacentral:rRNA from 1 species